rnacentral:rRNA from 1 species
AUUUGGUGGAAUUUUUAGUCGGGUUGGUUGGGUUUAUUUGCCUUUUGCAUCAUGCUAAGUGGAUGUAUUUAGUUUAGGCUAGAAACCGAAAAGUUUGGAUCUAAUGCUAGAUUGGUUAGAAAUUUGACGCGAGUAGUGGUGUUGAAAAUUUGGUGUUAGAGGUGAUAAAUAAGUCGUCAAACUUUAUAGCUGUUUGGGGGUUUUUGUGGUUAUAAACUUAUUUGGUGAAGAGAUCAAGUGAGCGGAUAUAUCUGGUUUGUUUGCUGCGUUAAGUUAGGGUUAAAGUUACCUCUUUUUUUAGAGUAUGUUAUAAUUUUGGCGUAAUAACUGUGAAGUUUGGAUUAUUUUUAUGGACUCCUUUUACUAAAUUAUAUUUGGUAAAGUAUCAUUUAAUAAGUAAUUAUAUUAGUUUUCAUGUAUCUCGGUUUCAUCCCGUCUGUUUAUUAAAAACAUUUCCAUGCACUAUUUUGUAUGGUAGUACCUGCUCUAUGUGUUAUAAAUGGCCGCAGUAUCUUGACUGUGCGAAGGUAGCAUAAUUAAUUGCCCUUUAAAUGGGGGCUUGUUUGAAUGGUUUGACGUGGUUGUGAAUAACAUGAGAAAUUUAAGUGAAAUUGAUAGCGCGAGUUCAGAAUUUGCGUAGUUUAAUUAGACGGAAAGACCCUAGGAUCUUUAAAUUUUUGCUUGGGGCAAGUGAAGAUAUUUUAUUUGCUUUUUGACCCCUGUCGGGGGUUGUAGGUUUAAGUUACCCUAGGGAUAACAGAGUAAUAGUUUAUUAGAGAUCUUAUCGAUUAAACUGUUUGCUACCUCGAUGUUGACUUGGGUUGAAUGUUCUGGCGCAGUUGUUAGGAGUUUUGGUCUGUUCGACCAUAUGUACCCCCAUGAGUUGAGUUAAGACCGGCGUAAGCCAGGUCGGUUCUUAUCUGUUGUUCUAAUUCGUUAGUACGAAAGGAUUGCGGGUUAUUUUAGU